rnacentral:misc_RNA from 1 species
GAACUGCGAUAAGUAAUGUGAAUUGCAGAAUUCAGUGAAUCAUCGAGUCUUUGAACGCACAUUGCGCCCCCUGGCAUUCCGGGGGGCAUGCCUGUCCGAGCGUCAUUGCUACCCUUCAAGCCCGGCUUGUGUGUUGGGUCGUCGUCCCCCUCGGGGGACGGGCCCGAAAGGCAGCGGCGGCACCGUGUCCGGUCCUCGAGCGUAUGGGGCUUUGUCACCCGCUCGAUUAGGGCCGGCCGGGCGCCAGCCGGCGUCUCCAACCUUAUUUUUCUCAGGUUGACCUCGGAUCAGGUAGGGAUACCCGCUGAACUUAAGC